rnacentral:rRNA from 1 species
GGAUUGCAGUCUGCAACUCGAGUGCAUGAAGCUGGAAUCGCUAGUAAUCGCGGAUCAGAAUGCCGCGGUGAAUACGUUCCCGGGUCUUGUACACACCGCCCGUCACACCAUGGGAGUCGGGAAUGCCCGAAGCCGGUGGCCCGAUCGAAAGAAGGGAGCCGUCGAAGGCAGGCCGGAUGACUGGGGUGAAGUCGUAACAAGGUACC